CUAGCCUACUUUCCAUCCUUUUACCCAUCGGUCCCUGGUGAAGGUAAUGCCUAAGCUGCCCGGAUUACGAAGAAGAAGCAACCCAUCAACCGAACAUGUUCUAGCUGAAGAUACAACUGAAGACUUGUAUGAGUCAGAAAAAGCAGAAGUGAAACCCUGUUUGGCGGGAGGUGGUGAUCUGACAGGCUGAGUUUCUCUUCACUAAUGGGGUGCGGACUAACUGACUGAAGAAAGGAUUAAUGAUGCAGAUCACUGAAGGAACUUUUAUUUCAGCUGCGCAGGAAGUUUAGAACCGUUGAAGAUGCCACCUGGAUAAUAUAGAUGCGGCUUAAAAAACUAGAGGAUAUAUACAGACUAUAAGAAGAAAUCGGAGCAGCUUUUGCCAUAGUAACGUCCUUUUGGUAAGUGUUCAUGCGACAUUGGAGGACAUCACAAUAAAAGCCAUCUUGGAAACCCCGUUGGAAGAGGAUCUAUCUGUGAAGUCAAGGACAUACAGUGCAGCCAUCCAUAAAGUAGAAAGCACUACUAGACAGGCUUUAACGCUGUAGUGUUUCCUACUUUAUGGAUGAGUGUACUGGGCGCUACAAGACUGCGACUAUGAAAAUGCAAGAAACAACAUGGAGAGUCCUUAUUGCCGCACCCAAGAUUUUAUCAUUUCCUUAAGUUGAUCAUGUAUGUAAUACAAUUUGUUCAGUAGUUUAUUCUGCAGAAAGAAAACAAUCUUUUUCAAUGUAUUUUAGUUCAUUACUCAUUACAAGUUCUAUAUAUUUCUAUAAUUUUAAAUGAGUCUUGUACUAUUGGAUGUACAGGCAUUUAUAUCAUGCUAUAAAAUACUAAAAUCUGACAUCAAAAGAGUGAAGACACAACCGGACUGAACCUGGAGGCUGACAUACAGUGCAGUUACCCAUAAAGUAGAAAGCACUACUAGAUAGGACUGAACGCUGUAGUGUUUCCUACUUUAUGGAUGAGUGUACUGGGCGCUACGAGACGUCGUCUGGACCCCGAAGACUCAAGAAUAUUUAAUUUGAUGUAUUUUUGUUUCAGGACAAGAAAUUGAAAGAAAGUGAUGACAUAAAAUUUUGUCUGUAGUUUGGAUUCUGCAUUUUUUCCACAAUAAAUAUGGUGAUAAAUAAUAA